rnacentral:lncRNA from 1 species
AAUCAAUCUCUUUAUUGCUUACAUGUAAAGAAACGAAAACAUUUAUUUGAAUAAAAUAAACUCAGGAUGCAAUUUACUCUGACACCGCUAAACAGCCUUCAAUUCGUAUAUGUGAUCCAAUUGAAAAAUAGAUCAACUAUAUUCUUGCUCUAGCUCCUAGUAGAAUCAAGCAAAGCAACCGAGCUUACCAAGGCAUACAUAAAACAUCAUCAGAUAAAUUCAAAGUCGGUCUAAGCAGCGUUUUUCAUGUCACGCAAUUUCUUCAUAACAGUGAUUGGAUCACUACUGCCCACUGCUUUUUGUACCGAUUCUAACCCAAGGCACAUGAAUGGAUUGAACUUCUUUUCGUCACCGAUGGUAAAGUGACCAGUAGUAGAUUCAUGAUUCUUGCAAAAAUCCACCAAUUUUGUAAGCUCAGGAGUAGAGAAGAUCGUGGAACUAAACUUGGCAUUUGAUUUGGUGUAUUCAUGACCAGGGUAAGUUACGGUAUCAUCGGGUAAAGCAGCAAGGACGUGAUUCAAAGCGUAGUCCAUUUGUUUGGCAUCUCCUUCAAAAAAGCGACCACAGCCUGAUGUAAAAAGAGUAUCUCCAGUAAACACGGCUCUUUUUGAAGGAGAGGAAACGUAAUAACAAAUACUGUCUUGGGUAUGGCAUGGCGUAUGAAGAGCCUCAACUUGAACUUCUCCAACCUUGAAAAUCUCCUUAUCUUUGGGAGUGUAUGUGACACCAGAUGCAUUUUUUCCGCCAUAGACCUUUAAAGAAGGAAAGUAGCUCAAAAUGUCUUCGUUGCCGCCUGCAUGAUCAUAGUGAUGAUGAGUGGUCAGAAUGUACUGCAAAUCAAUUUCUUUCUUCGCCGUUUUCUCUUUUAUGACAGGAAUAACACUAGAGUUUGUCAAUGUUAGUUUGGUUAAUUAAAUGUUACGGAGCGCACAAACAAAACAAUUCGGAAAACAGGAGGAGAAAAUCAUGUUUCCGAAAUCACAGAUAACAGUAUUUAAGUCGUUAUUUCAUUCUCUUCACUUACCUCUCAGGCUCAGCAGGGUCGACGAUGGCAGUGAUUUUGGUUUUAUCACAAGUCAGCAAAUAGGCAUAGUUGUUGCCCGUUCCUUUCCACAUCCAUAUGGGCGUAAUAUGAAAAGACAUCGCGUUUCUUAUUAUCUUAUGCACUUUAAAAAAAAAUGAAUAUACUAAACUUCCUACUCUACUAAGAAACAAAAUCUUAGAGAACGUAUUUGUUUAAGUCAAAAAAAAUUUGACAGUACGCACUUAUAUACGGUAACGUCAGAGUGAUAUGUAAAGGCAGCUUCUGUGUUAAUAAUCAUUGUUAGAAGCGAAAUUUCGAUGUUUAUUAAUCAAUUCAUUUUUUUUAAUUAUGAUUAUGAAAUAAAUUUUUAAAUAAACAUACUUCAUAUAAACUGUUACUGAAGUAGGUUUUAACAAUGUCAUUCAAAGCGCAAAAGUCAAAAACUAAAAUCAUUUCAAAGAGUAUACAUUUUGUAAGGAAUGAUAUUGUUUACGACUAAGGAAAUCAAAUGCUCGAAUUCUUCUUUUAACUUAUCCUUGUUGUGAAUUGAUACUCGGAAUGCAUGGAAAAGAACCUGACAAUUUUCCAUUGAAAACGUUUUGGAAAGUAAGUGUCCGGAAACAUAUGAGAGACUCAAAUUUAAUCUAAAAAAGAGUUAAACUAUUAACACUCGGUACAACCAUCAAAAAGGAGACAAAAUCAUUGACGCUCGAAAUCAAAUUACUAAAUAGCUCCAGCGUAGAGAAAGAAAAAAAAAUACAAUUUCGGGGUUUCCUUCGCAUUUUCCGAAAAAGGAUUGAUAUAAGAGUACGAAAAGAAUCGAAGGCGAUGUACUAUACGGAGCAAACACACAUCUUUAGAAGCAAAAAAUAAAAUAAAUUGACAAA